GGCACAAUAGACUAGAAAUUGACUUUGCCUUGUUUGUUUUUAUGGUUUGUCUCUAGUGACACAGUGUUGCCAGUGAAGCAGCUCAAUAAAAUUUGUAGUUAAUAGAGUUCAUUUUAGGAUUUUCUAAUUAACUCUGGCAUAUCUGGAUUUUACAUUUUGGAGAUUCUUGGAUUUAAGAAGAUGCUGAUUUCAUUUAUUACAAAUGG
rnacentral:misc_RNA from 1 species